rnacentral:ncRNA from 1 species
AGGGACUUAGAAGUUCUUCUGUUUUGUUUCAUCAUACAGCAAGGAUUGGACACGGAUGUCCAAUCCAAGGGCAAUCGUGCCUGGAUGGCUCGUUGACCUGUUUGCGUACCUAUACACUAACCUUCUACAAAACAAAUAGAACUUCUUAGUUCCGUAGA